UACGAGGGGGGCAAAUGUUGUUCGGAAUUACUGGGCGUAAAGGGCGCGUAGGCGGCCAUCUAAGUCAGACGUGAAAUCCCCCGGCUUAACCUGGGAACUGCGUCUGAUACUGGAAGGCUUGAGUAUGGGAGAGGGAUGUAGAAUUCCAGGUGUAGCGGUGAAAUGCGUAGAUAUCUGGAGGAAUACCGGUGGCGAAGGCGGCAUCCUGGACCAUUACUGACGCUGAGGCGCGAAAGCUAGGGGAGCAAACGGG
rnacentral:rRNA from 1 species